GAGUUUGAUCUUGGCUCAGGACAAACGCUGGCGGCGUGCGUUAAACAUGCAAGUCGAACGGGAUUUCGCCUUCGGGUGGGAUUUAGUGGCGGACGGCUGAGUAGCACGUGGGCGACCUGCCCUUUGGUGGGGAUAGCGGCCGGAAACGGCCGGUAAUACCGCAUGAGCUCUUUGGAGUGGAGUCCAGAGAGGAAAGCCUGUGAGGGCGUCGAAGGAGGGGCUCGCGGCCCAUCAGGUAGUUGGUGAAGUGACGGUUUACCAAGCCGAUGACGGGUGGCUGGUCUGAGAGGAUGGUCGGCCAGACUGGGACUGGGACACGGCCCAGACGCCUACGGGUGGCAGCAGUUAGGGAUCUUGCGCAAUGGCCGAAAGGCUGACGCAGCGACGCCGCGUGAGGGAGGACGGCCCUCGGGUUGUAAACCUCUUUUCUGGGGGACGAGGAUGGACGGUACUCCAGGAAUAAGCACCGGCUAACCCCGUGCCAGCCGCCGCAGUAAC
rnacentral:rRNA from 1 species